rnacentral:rRNA from 1 species
GGUAACGCCCAGAGAUGGUGCCCCUUUGUGUCGGUGUACAGGUGGUGCAUGGUUGUCGUCAGCUCGUGUCGUGAGAUGUUGGGUUAAGUCCCGCAACGAGCGCAACCCUCGACCUUAGUUGCCAGCAUUCAGUUGGGCACUCUAAGGUGACUGCCGGCUAAAAGUCGGAGGAAGGUGGGAUGACGUCAAAUCAUCAUGCCCCUUAUGAUCUGGGCUACACACGUGCUACAAUGGGCGGUACAAAGGGUCGCGAACCCGCGAGGGGGAGCCAAUCCCAAAAAGCCGCUCUCAGUUCGGAUUGCAGGCUGCAACUCGCCUGCAUGAAGCCGGAAUCGCUAGUAAUCGCGGAUCAGCAUGCCGCGGUGAAUACGUUCCCGGGCCUU